rnacentral:rRNA from 1 species
GACGAACGCUGGCGGCGUGCCUAAUACAUGCAAGUCGAACGCUUCUUUCCUCCCGAGUGCUUGCACUCAAUUGGAAAGAGGAGUGGCGGACGGUGAGUAACACGUGGGUAACCUACCCAUCAGAGGGGGAUAACACUUGGAAACAGGUGCUAAUACCGCAUAACAGUUUAUGCCGCAUGGCAUAAGAGUGAAAGGCGCUUUCGGGUGUCGCUGAGGGAUGGACCCGCGGUGCAUUAGCUAGUUGGUGAGGUAACGGCUCACCAAGGCCACGAUGCAUAGCCGACCUGAGAGGGUGAUCGGCCACACUGGGACUGAGACACGGCCCAGACUCCUACGGGAGGCAGCAGUAGGGAAUCUUCGGCAAUGGACGGAAGUCUGACCGAGCAACGCCGCGUGAGUGAAGAAGGUUUUCGGAUCGUAAAACUCUGUUGUUAGAGAAGAACAAGGACGUUAGUAACUGAACGUCCCCUGACGGUAUCUAACCAGAAAGCCACGGCUAACUACGUGCCAGCCGCCGCAGUAA